rnacentral:rRNA from 1 species
CAGUCGCCGCGGGAAUACGUAGGUGGCAAGCGUUAUCCGGAAUUAUUGGGCGUAAAGCGCGCGUAGGCGGUUUUUUAAGUCUGAUGUGAAAGCCCACGGCUCAACCGUGGAGGGUCAUUGGAAACUGGAAAACUUGAGUGCAGAAGAGGAAAGUGGAAUUCCAUGUGUAGCGGUGAAAUGCGCAGAGAUAUGGAGGAACACCAGUGGCGAAGGCGACUUUCUGGUCUGUAACUGACGCUGAUGUGCGAAAGCGUGGGGAUCAAACAGGAUUAGAUACCCCUGUAGUCCCUGUCUCUUAUAA